CCUACGGGGGGCAGCAGUGGGGAAUAUUGGACAAUGGGGGCAACCCUGAUCCAGCCAUGCCGCGUGUGUGAAGAAGGCCCUCGGGUUGUAAAGCACUUUCAGUGAGGAAGAACGCCUGGUGGUUAAUACCCAUCAGGAAAGACAUCACUCACAGAAGAAGCACCGGCUAACUCCGUGCCAGCAGCCGCGGUAAUACGGAGGGUGCGAGCGUUAAUCGGAAUUACUGGGCGUAAAGCGCGCGUAGGUGGCUUGAUAAGCCGGUUGUGAAAGCCCCGGGCUCAACCUGGGAACGGCAUCCGGAACUGUCAAGCUAGAGUGCAGGAGAGGAAGGUAGAAUUCCCGGUGUAGCGGUGAAAUGCGUAGAGAUCGGGAGGAAUACCAAUGGCGAAGGCGGCCUUCUGGACUGACACUGACACUGAGGUGCGAAAGCGUGGGUAGCAAACAGGAUUAGAUAUCCGUGUAGUC
rnacentral:rRNA from 1 species